GAUGAACGCUGGCGGCGUGCCUAAUACAUGCAAGUCGAGCGAACGGACGAGAAGCUUGCUUCUCUGAUGUUAGCGGCGGACGGGUGAGUAACACGUGGAUAACCUACCUAUAAGACUGGGAUAACUUCGGGAAACCGGAGCUAAUACCGGAUGAUAUUUUGAACCGCAUGGUUCAAAAGUGAAAGACGGUCUUGCUGUCACUUAUAGAUGGAUCCGCGCUGCAUUAGCUAGUUGGUAAGGUAACGGCUUACCAAGGCAACGAUGCAUAGCCGACCUGAGAGGGUGAUCGGCCACACUGGAGCUGAGACACGGUCCAGACUCCUACGGGAGGCAGCAGUAGGGAAUCCUCCGCAAUGGGCGAAAGCCUGACGGAGCAACGCCGCGUGAGUGAUGAAGGUCUUCGGAUCGUAAAACUCUGUUAUUAGGGAAGAACAUAUGUGUAAGUAAAUGUGCACAUCUUGACGGUACCUAAUCAGAAAGCCACGGCUAACUACGUG
rnacentral:rRNA from 1 species